GCUCCCGUAGUGUAGUCCGGCCAAUCUUUCUCAAACGCUUAAGAAAGGGCUUUGCAUGCUAGGCUUUCACCCUGGUGACCCGGGUUCGAAUCCCGGCGGGAGCA
rnacentral:tRNA from 1 species